rnacentral:rRNA from 1 species
AUGUGUUGCAAGUUGCAGGAGUUGUAUCGUUACAAUGUGCUCCCCGAGGAGCUCACUGCACUAGGGCCAAGGGUCAGAGAAUUGGGUGAUGACAUGUACGAAGCUCUUGGGCUCUCUUCUAUGGACAGACGCAGUUAUAUACCGUUGGAUAUGGCAAUCCUAGGGCUGAAAUGCCUGGUCUUCGCAUUGACCCCUACCACUUGCCAGCCUCCUGCAUGCACAGAUGGCACUCCCAUCAUGGAAGAAGCCACACAGCAUGCCAGUGUGGUUUACUUAGUGCCUUCUAAAUCUCCGUCGUAA